AUCCUGCAUAAAUACUGUAUCCAAACAGCCCCUUCAGGUCGAUGGAUCGAUUCGUGACUCGGAGGAGAGCGCAAGCAGAUCAGCCUUCAGGAAACAUCGACGACAGUCGGGAAGUCGUUGAGGAGCCGCCGGAAAUAGUCGGAGUGGAUUCGAAUGGGAGCGCAGCAGGGGGAGAGUCAUCACCGCCCCAACAAGCGAAAAAGACGGAUAAACCUUUGCCCUUCAUGGGGAUGAAAGUGCGAAGGCGAGCUAACUUGCUUAGGGAGUGCAAUGGGGAUUACAUUGACGUGCCAUCCGAUCCUUAUCUUUCAAGGAUACUAAGAAAACAAGGUGAUGGAAAGGUUUUAUUUGCUGACAAGGUUUUAAGAUUCACCGGAACAGGGAAGAUUAAACGCCGCAUUUUAUUAAUAACAGACUUAGCUAUCUACAUCAUUGACCCUGAUUCUGAUGUUCUGAAAAGACGGAUAGCACUUGCAGCUGUUGAUAAGUUAUGCAUGAGUGAGCUGAAUGAUGACUUUUUUGCUAUUGUUAUCCCAAGUGAGUAUGAUUGUCUUAUGGCGAGCACCCGAAAAACAGAAAUUGUUAACACGUUACUUGAAGCAACUAAGAGUAAAUCAGAAUAUGAACUUGAGGUUUUUCGCUCGAACAGGUCAUCUUGUUACACGGAGAAGUAAGAUGCAGACAAUGGUGGCAAGAUCAAGUGCUGAAGCUUAGUUUAGAGCUAUGGUGUUUGAGUACAAUGCUGCUGCGGACACGGUAAAAGAAGCGGAGUUCGAGGAAGUAGAUGGAAACGUCAGGACAAAGUUUACGAGGAAAGAAAACCAUUGAUGUUGGGCAUGCUUGCUUUCUUCUUGCUCUGCUUGAAGGUAUUCCAGACUGGAACGGCCAUUAAUUCUUCUUACAAGUUGUAGCAUGAGCAAUUUUGCAUGGACUUAUAUAACUCGUUAAUGUCCUAUCUCUGUACGUAUGAAAAGUUUUUUUUUUUUUUACUGAUUUUCUUACGUUUUGUGGAAUGCUGAAUAUCAGAGUUGGGAGCUUUUGUAGUUCUUCUUCGACUUAUUAACAUAUAAAUUGCAUUUUUAUUUUAUAAAAUUGGCUACGGAAUUUUUUUCA